UGGGUAUCUGCUUCUAUAAACCAAUGAGGAGAUGACUCGUGGGUAUCUGCUUCUAUAAACCAAUAAGGAGAUGGGAGAGGCAAUAAUUGAAUAACAUGUAUGUGUACAUUUAUUUUGCAACGCUCGCACACACGGCACAAGUGGUGUAGUCAGCAUGUUAGAAUGUUUGUUAUUGUACAGAAGCUUACUAUACAUUUUUAUCAACGUUAAGGCCUAUUGUGUUCUGGUAGUCCCUAUCUGCUGUCCUUAGCCUGUUUUGUUAAUGGCCACGUUCCAGAGCCGACUACAUUAGGUUCUAGAGCCGACUACAUUAGGUUCCAGAGCCGACUACAUUAGGUUCCAGAGCCGACUACAUUAGGUUCCAGAGCCGACUACAUUAGGUUCCAGAGCCGACUACAUUAGGUUCCAGAGCCGACUACAUUAGGUUCCAGAGCCGACUACAUUAGGUUCCAGAGCCGACUACAUUAGGUUCCAGAGCCGACUACAUUACAGACGCCUACCAGAUCUCACAACACCUGAAUAGGUGAUUAACAUAUCAGCUGAUCACAUUCUAUGAUCUAACAAUCUGAUUGAUGCCUAACUACGUAGUCGAUGAGGUGGCUCACAACCAUUGGUUGGUGGUUGAUGAAAUGCAACACCUGGAAUGUAGGUGGCCUGGAACGUGGCCGGUGUCGCUGAAUUUAUGUUAAAGGUACUGGGUGUCUUAAUAAAUUGUAACCACUAUGACCACUAUGUCUAUCACAUAGGCCCAUCUCUCGUUGGUAGCCCUGAGUACAUUAUUUGUCCUCAUUUGUCAUUGUUUUGUCUGUAAUCUAGAUUAUAAUUAUUUUUACUUCACAGUAUGUAUCCCCUGUAUCAAAAGUGAUUUACAAAUACAUUUUGUGGAUGCUGGUCUGUACAUUCGAUGAUAGGAACGGACGUUUUUUUUAGGAUAUGUUUUUAUAUGGAAAUACAUACAGUACUAUGAUUAUUUUUGAAUUUACCCAAAAGGAUAAAACACAUUUUUUAUUGUCGCUCUUUUGACACAGUCCUCUGACGGUAAAUCAAUUCCACCGUCUUUAAAAAAGGAAUUUUGAGAAAACCGGAAUAUUUUUUCUUCUUCAUACAAAUCCACAUUUGACAUGUAUAACAGAAACAUACGUAAGUGCCUACAAUGAUUAUGCAGUUGUGCUACAUUUUCCUCAAAGAGGAUAAACAACAGAAUUGAAUGAGUCUGAAAUGUGUAUUCUUGUGUUCACACUGAAAUAAAGUAUAACAAUUUAAUCAGA